UCGACGUAAAAAAUGUGGACGGUUGAGAAGAAGUGUUAGGACUGAGUCAGUUUUCUCACAAUCACACUGCAGUCUAUUCACAUGGAUGAAGUAUAUACAUAGAUUUGCACAGGGUUUACGUCUACGGCAAGUAGACAUGCUUCAAGAUGGCAUUGCAAAGAGCACAGCAACUCUCUCCAUGAUGUCAAAGAAACUCAGAAGAGUUUGUUUAAAAAGCCUAAAAAAGCACCAAAAGAAAACGAAGCAAAGAGUUGGUGGAGUUAAUGUCCUUGUUCACAUUGAUGAGAGCAAGUUCUGCCACAAACGCAAGUAUGCAAGAGGACGCUUUGGUAACACCUGGAAGAGAAAGAGAUCAUGGGUGUUUGGUAUACUUGAGAUCAAAUCUGCAAGACGACGUCCCAUUCUUCGUCUUGUGAAGAAAAGAAACAAGGAGACCCUUGUUCCCAUC